rnacentral:rRNA from 1 species
GAGAGGACGACCAAUCCGUCACUGGGACUGAGACACUGCCCAGACUCCUACGGGAGGCUGCAGUCGAGGCAUCUUUUGCAAUGUGCGCAAGCCUGACCAAAUGCGACGUUGCGUGGAGGACGAAGGCUUUCGGGUUGUAUACUCCUGUCAUUCGGUAACAAUCCCCCGCGUGUGAAUAGCACGUGGGGUUGAGUGCCGGAGGAGGAAGCCACGGCUAACUCUGUGCCAGCAGCCGCGGUAAUACAGAGGUGGCAAGCGUUGUUCGGAUUUACUGGGCGUAAAGGGUGCGUAGGUGGUUUCGUGUGUCGGAUGUGAAAUCUUGAGGCUUAACCUCAAAACUGCGUCCGAAACUACGGGGCUAGAGCAGAGGAUGGGAGAGCGGAAUUCUUGGUGUAGCGGUGAAAUGCGUUGAUAUCAAGACAGAACACCGGUGGCGAAGGCGGCUCUCUGGAAUCUUGCUGACACUGAGGCACGAAAGCGUGGGGAGCAAACAGGAUUAGAUACCCUGGUAGUCCACGCCCUAAACGGUGUGCACUUGGUGUGGGAGGAAUUAACCCCUCCCGUGCCGGAGCUAACGCGUUAAGUGCACCGCCUGGGGAGUACUGGUCGCCAGAUUAAAACUCAUAGGAUAGACCGGGGACCCGCACAAGUGGUGGAGCAUGUGGUUUUAUUCGAAGAUACGCGAAGAACCUCUACCUGGCCUUGACAUUGAUAGAAUCUGCUAGAGAUAGCGGAGUGCCCUUCGGGGAGCUUGAAAACAGGUGCUGCACGGCUGUCGUCAGCUCGUGUCGUGAGAUGUUGGGUUAAGUCCCGCAACGAGCGCAACCCUCGUUACUAGUUACUAACGGUUCGGCCGAGGACUCUAGUAAGACUGCCUUCGCAAGGAGGAGGAAGGUGAGGACGACGUCAAGUCAUCAUGGCCCUUACGACCAGGGCGACACACGUGCUACAAUGGGAUGUACAAUGAGACGCAAUACCGCGAGGUGGAGCAAAUCUAUAAAGCAUCUCUCAGUUCGGAUAGCAGUCUGCAACUCGACUGCUUGAAGCUGGAAUCACUAGUAAUCGUAGAUCAGCCAUGCUACGGUGAAUACGUUCCCGGGUCUUGUACUCACCGCCCGUCACACCAUGGGAGUUGAUUUCACCCGAAGCGGGGAAGCUAAACUGGCUACCCUCCACGGUGGAA